rnacentral:rRNA from 1 species
AUUGAACGCUGGCGGCAGGCCUAACACAUGCAAGUCGAGCGAGCGGCGGACGGGUGAGUAAUGUCUGGGAAACUGCCUGAUGGCGGGGGAUAACUACUGGAAACGGUAGCUAAUACCGCAUACCAUCAGAUGUUCCCAGAUGGGAUUAGCUCGUGGGUGGGGUAACGGCUCACAUAGGCGACGAUCCCUAGCUGGUCUGAGAGGAUGACCAGCCGCCCUGGAUCUUGGACACGGAGCAGACUCCUACGUGAGGCAGCGUUGGGGAAUAUUGCACUAUGGGCGCAAGCCUGAUGCAGCCAUGCCGCGUGUGUGAAGAGUGCCUUGCGGUUGUAAAGCACUUUCGGCAGGGAUGCGUUACCCGCAGAAGAAGCACCGGCGACCUCCGUGCCAGCAGCCGCGGUAAUUC